rnacentral:rRNA from 1 species
UUUCCGGUUGAUCCUGCCGCCGGCCACUGCUAUCAAGUUCCGACUAAGCCAUGCGAGUCAAGGUAUCGUAAGAUGCCGGCAAACUGCUCAGUAACACGUGGAUAAUCUAACCUUGAGUAAGGGAUAACUUCGGGAAACUGAAGGUAAUACCUUAUAAUUGCUUAAAACUGGAAUGUUUUUGCAAUAAAAGUUACGACGCUCAAGGAUGAGUCUGCGACCUAUCAGGUAGUAGGUGGUGUAAUGGACCACCUAGCCUCAGACGGGUACGGGCCCUGGGAGGGGUAGCCCGGAGAUGGACUCUGAGACAUAAGUCCAGGCCCUACGGGGCGCAGCAGGCGCGAACACUGUGCAAUGCGCGAAAGCGCGACACGGGGAGCUUGAGUGUCUUGGCAUAGCCAAGACUUUUCUCAUUCCUAAAAAGCAUGAGGAAUAAGUGCUGGGUAAGACGGGUGCCAGCCGCCGCGGUAACACCCGCAGCACGAGUAGUGGUCACUUUUAUUGAGCCUAAAGCGUUCGUAGCCGGUUUUGUAAAUCUUCAGAUAAAGCCUGAAGCUUAACUCCAGAAAGUCUGAAGAGACUGCAAGACUUGAGAUCGGGUGAGGUUAAACGUACUUUCAGGGUAGGGGUAAAAUCCUGUAAUCCCGGAAGGACGACCAGUGGCGAAAGCGUUUAACUAGAACGAAUCUGACGGUAAGGAACGAAGGCUAGGGUAGCAAACCGGAUUAGAUACCCGGGUAGUCCUAGCUGUAAACAUUGCCCAUUUGAUGUUGCUUUUCCGUUGAGGGAAGGCAGUGUCGGAGCGAAGGUGUUAAAUGGGCCGCUUGGGAAGUAUGGUCGCAAGACUGAAACUUAAAGGAAUUGGCGGGGGAGCACCGCAACGGGAGGAAUGUGCGGUUUAAUUGGAUUCAACGCCGGAA